rnacentral:sRNA from 1 species
AGGAAGAGUAGGAAAACAGUAAAUG